AUUAAACCACUAUAAGAAAAAGCCGUUUUACCGGCCAAAAUUACUUGCGGUGAGCAGCAAUUGGACGGCAGAAAUAUUAAAUUUACUGUGCCGUGUUUUUCUUCUGGAGAGCCAGGGAAGCCCCGCUAAAAAGACUAUUUGCGGCGAAGAUGUGUCGCCGCAAAAUGUCAUCAUAAAAAUCUCUUUAUUUCGCCCCGUUUCUUUUCCUCCGUUUCUUUUCCUUCUCUCCCUUUUCUCUUUUCCCCCAGCUCGAGACUCCCUCUAUAUUCUCUCUGAGUUUGCUGCUGCCCUUCCCAAGCCGUGUCGUCGCCAUCUCGCCGAGGAGGAUCUGCAGAAAGAGAAGAUUUGAUCAACGUAUGGAAGCGGUGACGGAAGAGAACUAGGGUUGGAUGCUCUGAUUUUGGUUCUGAAAUCGAUCUUGAUCCUCUCUAUAUAUGUUUGCCUUGUGAUCCUCUCUGAUUUUGGUUCUUGGUGACCUGAAUGAUAGAUAUAUAUCUUGGUGGUAGUAGAAGCUCAACAUUUUGAAGAUGCCAUCAGUGAUAAGAAGGAAAAUAUUACUCCGAUUGGCUUGAAGAUCGUGGUAAUUUAUGUAUUAUUUUGUUUAUGGAUUUGAUGAUCUGUGAUUUUUAUUUGCAGAAGAAGGAAAAUAUUACUCCGAUUGGCUUGAAGAUCGUGUUUUACGGAUUCUUGCCAUUUUAACGGUUCAGAUUAAUUCUAUCAGUUCCUCUUCUUCACCGUAUAUAGCCUCCACAAAGCUUAGAGAGAGAUUUCAGAGGAAAAGCCAUAGGCAGGUCAAUCUUAUCUCUCCGAUCCCCAAACCAAAGGCUGAGGAAGAGAAGAAGCCUCAGGAAAAAGAGACUCAAGCCUGAAGAGAAGAAAAAAGAGUGUCUUGUUCCUUCCUGAAACCUCCAAGACUCGACCUUUCUUCUCAAACCGUCUAUUGUAACAGAGAGCCAUGCCUUGAGGGAGAAGAGAGAGGUUACCGAGAGAAAAUCGUGGCUCGGAUUCCCUCAGCGUCGUCCCCGGAGAGGGGUGUUGUUGUUGGUGUUGGUGUUGCAGUGGUGGUGGGGUCGGGGGUGGCGUGGGCUAGAGUCCAUCGAUGCCUUCUAAGAUGCUUCAAAAACACACGGAGAGAGAGAGCGAGAGCUCUGAAGAAGAAGGAGAAGAAGAGAGAAUAUGGGGCAAAGAGAUGAGAUGAGACUGUUACUUUUUAAUAAUUCAAUAAUUCAAUAGCUCUUCCUUUUUAAUAUAUCUAUAUAUACACACGCGCAUAUGUGUGCGUGUACGUGCGUUAAUUAUUCUAUCA